rnacentral:rRNA from 1 species
AUUGAACGCUGGCGGCAGGCCUAACACAUGCAAGUCGAACGGUAACAGGAAGAAGCUUGCUUCUUUGCUGACGAGUGGCGGACGGGUGAGUAAUGUCUGGGAAACUGCCUGAUGGAGGGGGAUAACUACUGGAAACGGUAGCUAAUACCGCAUAAUGUCGCAAGACCAAAGAGGGGGACCUUCGGGCCUCUUGCCAUCGGAUGUGCCCAGAUGGGAUUAGCUAGUAGGUGGGGUAACGGCUCACCUAGGCGACGAUCCCUAGCUGGUCUGAGAGGAUGACCAGCCACACUGGAACUGAGACACGGUCCAGACUCUUACGGGAGGCAGCAGUGGGGAAUAUUGCACAAUGGGCGCAAGCCUGAUGCAGCUAUGCCGCGUGUAUGAAGAAGGCCUUCGGGUUGUAAAGUACUUUCAGCGGGGAGGAAGGGAGUAAAGUUAAUACCUUUGCUCAUUGACGUUACCCGCAGAAGAAGCACCGGCUAACUCCGUG